rnacentral:rRNA from 1 species
UUGCGACCCCCUACGGGAGGCAGCCGUGGGGAAUAUUGCGCAAUGGGGGCAACCCUGACGCAGCCAUGCCGCGUGAAUGAAGAAGGCCUUCGGGUUGUAAAGUUCUUUCGGUAGCGAGGAAGGCAUUUAGUUUAAUAGACUAGAUGAUUGACGUUAACUACAGAAGAAGCACCGGCUAACCCCGUGCCAGCAGCCGCGGUAAUACGGAGGGUGCGAGCGUUAAUCGGAAUAACUGGGCGUAAAAGGCACGCCGGCGGUGACUUAAGUGAGGUGUGAAAGCCCCGGGCUUAACCUGGGAAUUGCAUUUCAUACUGGGUCGCUAGAGUACUUUAGGGAGGGGUAGAAUUCCACGUGUAGCGGUGAAAUGCGUAGAGAUGUGGAGGAAUACCGAAGGCGAAGGCAGCCCCUUGGGAAUGUACUGACGCUCAUGUGCGAAAGCGUGGGGAGCAAACAGGAUUAGAAACCCCGGUAGUCCAGAGAA